AACAUUCAAAAGAGAGCAAUACGUAGCUCACUCAAACAUGCAAUUGGCAGUGCAGCUAAAACUCACUCACAAAUGCAGCUCAAAGCAUAACUAAAACAAGCUGCAACUCAAACAUUGUUCGCAAUAAUGUCGCUCAAAGAGCUGCUAAAUAAGAGUCGAAUAAAGUACUCAAGGUUCAUGGCACUUGUGUACUUGUGCUCAAUUGAAAACUCAAUCCAACUAAGAGCAAUUCAUAGAAAGCUCAGUAGCAAGGAUAGCUUAAAACGCUCAAGAGCAGCCAGGCGACUCGCAACUCAAGCGGCACAAAACUCAACUCAAAUUCAAGCAGAGCAGCAGGACGUACAGUACAAUUACAGGUCUCAACGUCUCUUUGAGCUGCCAUAAAGGAAAUGAGCUGCGCUCAAAUAUGCAGACUCUUUUUCAAAAAAACUCAAUUCACACACAGCAAAGAGCGAAGUGACGCUGCAGUCAAACUCAACUCAACACAGGACAGGGAAAAGCUUUCGGCUAUGCUCGGCACAGCGUCGCGUUUAACUUGGCUCGUGCGUGGGUGAAUUUAACGAAGCUGGCCAAUUCGCAAGGAUUGAACCGCCUUGCCGCGUCAGUCUUCAGUGGAGCGGCGUGCUGUGUGCUAAAAGCGGCAGGUGCAAAAGGGUAAUGCUCGACUGCUGUCGCAGCAGCCGCUGCUGCUUGUGCGGCGAGCGAAUUGUGUUGCAUACUUUUUGGCGCGCGCGUUUGAGGCUGAGUUUAUGUGAACUGUGACAGACACAGAGACAGUCGAGAAAGUUGCACAAAAAAACAGACAGUUGCAAAGGCAAAGCAGACGUUGCGAUUUACCGUUGUUGUGGCGCCAGAAUGGCUGUGUGAGUGUGUGUGUCCUGCUGCUUGGCCCCAGGAGACAUUUAACAUAAUAAAAACGAACGUGUGCGGCAUUCGUUGCUGUUUUUCAACUGCAAACGUGUAUGUGCGUGUGCUUGUGCUGGUUUUGUUUAAUGCUAAUAACACACAGAUAGUACACGCACACACACACACACAAACACGGGCACACGCACACUUAGUAGAAACAAUAUUGCAAAUGUGUGCGGCAAAGCAGUUGGCAAAAGUGUCGUAAAUCGUUUAGACGGCAAACGUGGCAAGCGCUCAGGACACGGACACAGGACAAACGCACACAGACUCACACACACACACACAGUUGCGCUGCCAGGACGAUAUGUAAAGGACAAAAGCCAGCGUGGGAAAAAACAUAUAUAUUUUUAUAUAUUAUAAAGCAACGCCACAGGAUGCUGCCUGCUGAUAGCGACUGCUCCUUUGCUUAGUUCAUGCAAAGCAAACGUAACAAAUGAGAGACUGACAAUAAGAAACAAGGAAAUGUGAAGGCUUCGAUCACAGAUAGAAUGUUAAGAGGCUGCCUUUUAAAUAGAUAUUUUCAUCCAAGAAAUGCUGCUACACUUGGAAAUCUUUUGCUGUCUGAUGGAUGGACUCUUCAACAUAUUUUUAUUUAUUUAUUUUUUAAAAAAUUUGAAA